UCUUUGCUGAAGGCUCCACAAUACAGAUUCAUUUGUCUUUUUAGGCAUUGAUGCAACUGCAAUUUAAAUGUGGGUGGCUGCACACCCAUAACUGCGUUGUGUGACAUGGGAAUGUAUAGCCAUACCAGGUGGAGAAGAGGGGACGAACCCUUACCAUACCCCAGGUAAUUUGCACCCACAGUAUUAAGCUUGAUUUGAGUUGUUUUACCACUGCCUGUCCAUCAGUCCUUACCUUAUUCCUAAUGCAAUGUACCACCUGAACAUGAGGUGCUGGAGGCUAUAAGCGCCCCUGAGCUACAGCGUUCUCCUUAGAGGUGCACGGCAGGGUCAGCAGCAGCGCCUGGAACCCAUCAGUUGUGCCUCGCAGCAGCAGAGCCCCGUAUGAAGGUGCUGUGUCAAGAAGCAGCAAGAUCAGAGCCCUUUUAAAGGAGACCUGGAAUGGAAGGAAGUGUAUUUGUCCCUUUUGGGGGGGAUAAAAAGGCCUCAGAAAAUCCUUUUCUUUCUUCCUAUAACAAGUUUUGCCUUCCUUGUUUCUGCUGGAGGUUUAUAGCAUCCUUUUAACCACCUGAAAGAUUUUGAGCUAAAAUGAAGGGAAUGAUGGCCUGAGUCUCUAAAAAGAUAAUCCUCCUCAUCUGUUCAUCAGGUAUUGGUUAGAAACGUACAAAAGUAUAUUCAAAAUAAUCUCAGCUGAAAGUAGCUCCCUUGAUGCUGGAUUCUUAAUGCCAUUCAGGCCAUCUACUGAACUUCUAAAAAUAUGUAUGUUUUAUGGAUGAAAGCUACUGAACACAUUUUUAUGAACUGUUUGUCCUUCAAUUUGUUGUAAGAUAGUACUUCCACUUAAUAUUCCUGUAAUGUUCUUGUAGCCUUACUCAAAACAUACCCUUCUGCACUGAUUUUGCUAGGAACAUUCUACCAGCCUUUAUGCUGAUUAAGACAAUAAACUCGAAGCAUUCCUUGUCUCAUUGGAA